CCCAGGUUCAAGUGAUUUUCAUGCCUCAGCCUCCCAGCUCUCUGAAUUUUGGAUCAUUCACUCUGAGGGAAGCCAGCUGCCAUGACAUGAGGAUACUCAAGCAGCCUGUGGAGUGGCCCAUAUGGAGUGUGACUGAGGCCUCCCAGCAACAGCCAGUGUCAGCAUGCCAGCUAUGUGAGUGAGCUACUUUGGAAGCAGAUCCUCCAUCCCCAGUCAAGCCUUCCAAUGACUGUGGUCCCAGUUGACAUCCUGACUGCAACCUCAUGAGAAAUCCUAAGCUAGAAUCACCCAUCCAAGGCAUUUUCAAACUUCUGAUCCACAGAGACUGUGUGAUGCAAUUAAUGCUUAUUAUCGAUUUAAGCUAGAAAGUUUUGGAGUAAUUCAUAAUACAGCAAUACAUAAUGAAUUCAGCUAUUUGGUAGCUUUGUUCUCUAAGUUUUGGGUUCCCCUUCUGUAAAAUGGAGAUAAGUAUUUUAUAAUGUAGUUUUGAAGAUAAAAUGAGUUAAUAGUAAAGCCUAUCAUUGACUGAGUCCAUGUAAAUACUAUUACACGAUCUUGUACUGUGCUAGCUUGUGAAUUAACGAGGGUGUUACAGACAACAGCCUUUGGAACUCAGGCCAACCUACACAAGCAAUCCCUAAGGAUUGGGAAAGGGUGGUGUUUUCAGUGAUGGUUGUGGUCUUCUUGCAUUGUGUAAAGUCUGUUUCUACCAAUGUGGUCUUUCUUAAUAGGCAUUAAAUUUGAAUGUUAUCUUCCACAUGUGUAGAAAUUCCUUCAUUGUGAGAAUUCAGAGGGGUGGCAUUUAGGGCAGUUCGAUCCCCUUCAUUAUGAGAACAAGGAACCAUCAUGGGAUGACUCAGGAUCUGGGAAGCAGUGUUGUCUACAGCCUUGGUUUAUUUUUUAUUUUUUAUUUGGGAAGACCAGGAUUCAAAUAUUAGCCUUUCCCAUUGUCUAUGUUGUUUUGGCCAAAUUACCAACCUCUCUGAGCGUCUAGUAUUUCAUGUAUGAAAUGUGACUAGUAAUACCUACUUUAUAAGGCUGUUGUGAGUUGUAUUGAAUUUAAGUAUGAAAGAGUAUCCAGUACAGUGUUGGUAUUUAAUAAAUGGUCAAUAGAGGUGA